rnacentral:sRNA from 20 species
AUUCUACCCAUGCGGGGAAGGAUGAGAAGCUUCGACUAAGGUUCGAUUCGAGCGCAGCGAGAAAGCGUUGCCGCAGGCAACGACCCGAAGGGCGAAGCGCGCAGCGCUGAGUCAUCCUUCCCCCACCACCA